UUACGUUCGUCAAGCCUUUCACACCUUCGUCACAUCCCGCUCCCACACCUUCGUCCACCAGUUUUCAGAAUCGCAAAGGAAAAAAACAUUCUCUCUCCUCCCACCAGCGGCCUCGAUCUGGGAUCACCAAGGACGCCGCCGCCGCCGCCGCGGAUCCCACGGAAGCCGCCGUCGCGGAUCCCACGGACGCCGCCUCCGCGGAUCCCACGGCGCCACCCCGCCGCCACCUCGCCACCGUUGGUCGCCAUGGCGCGGCGUCACCCCGCCGCCACCUCAGCCAAGCGCCGCGCCGCCCUCCAAACCCUAGCCCGCCCCCUCCGCCCGUCGACGGAUCGCUUCCGCUCCUCCACGCGGCGAGCCGCGGCGACCUCCGCCUCUUCAAGAGGCUGGUGAGAGAUCUGGAUCAGGGCAGGGGCCGUCCCAGGGAGGUGGUGGAGGCGGCCAAGGACCAAGGUCUCGUGGCGCUGCACUUCGCUGCCGGGAAGGGAAGGCCACGGGUGUGCAGGUACCUGGGGUCGAGGAGCUAGGGGUCGAUGUGGACGCCGUCGACGAUGGAGGCACCGGCACCUGGCGGUGCGCUCUCCGGGACUCUGCCACUUGAAGGGGCGAGGAGGAGCUACGGAUGCUAGCGAUUAACAACGUUGUGCAGAAGGCAAGCGCAGGACACUAUUUUGGAUUAGCUUAUAUUUUUCGGGCAAAGUUGUUCAUUUUAUUAACAUGGCAAAGUUCAGACAUUGAUGCAAAACAGCGGUAUGCCUUGAUGUUCAUUUUAUAUUGUUGGGUACAACCAUGGGUACAGCUUGCAGAGGUAAAAAUCCCAAGCACCCCUCAUGCAAAGAGAAGGGUAAUCUCCUUUUUUGCGUACUGUAUGCCUUCUCUACUUAUUUAUAUUGCAAUAAUAAUAUCCUACAAGUAUUCGGAAUAAGAGCAAUGUUUUUAUGAUUAUCUAGAAUUUUCAUUAUACUGAUGUUUGUUUAUUGGACUAUGUGUAUGUAUUCAGUCUUUCGCAAAACUCAGCCAUAGCUAUUAUUCAUGUUAGCUUUUUUUGAAUGUUGUUAUUCAUGUUAGCUUUGGAACUUCAGGUUUUGCACUCAGAUAUUCUUCAGGAAUUGCUCAUCGCACAAGGAAAUAUGUGAGGAGAAUCACUAUUUUCUGCCAUAUAUCUAGCAUUUUUCUAUUUCGGUAGAUUCUAUAUUGUUGGGUACAACCAUGGGUACGGCUUGCAGAGGUAAAAAAUCCCAAGCACCCCUCAUGCAAAGAGAAGGGGAAUCUCCUUUUUAGUUGUAUUGUAUACCUUCUCUACUUAUUUAUAUUGCAAUAAUAAUAUCCCUAUAAGUAUUCGGAAUAAGAGCAAUUUUUUAUGAUUAUCUAGAAUUUUUAUUACUGAUGUUUGUUUAUUGGACCAUGUGUAUGUAUUCAGUCAUUCGCAAAUAUACAUGUGAUGUCAACUCAGCCACAGCUAUUAUUCAUGUUAGCUUUUUCUGAAUGUUGUUAUUCAUGUUAGCUUUGGAACUUCAUGUUUUGCACUCAGAUAUUCUUCACGGUAGUUCCUUGGCAUCAUUAUGUUUUGCUGAUCCAAAAUUUACUAUUCUCCAUACUUUCAUGUUUCAUGUUGUUUCCAAUAUGGAAAUCUAGAAUUUUUACAUCAUGACAUUGUGCAAAAUGAUUCACUUGCAUGACAAAUCACCUCUCAUAUUUGGCGAGUUGUUUCUGAAAUCUGGAAUCAUUAAGCGUCCUUUUAGUCUUGUCCAUAUAAAUUGCCAAAUGAUGCCAGCUCUGUUCGAGUGGUUUAAAUUCUGAAGACUGAACUUUGUUUGCACCAUGUGUACAAAUCUCGAUUUCACUAAAAUGGGCUCCAUGUGAAUCUAAAUAAAAUGCUAAACUAAAACAAUAGGCUAAUUGAACUUGUGAUUUUGGAAAUCUUUUGGCCGAAGAAGCUUAUGAAACAGUGUACUGUAAACUGGUUGGUUAUUGAGAGGCCCUUUAUCUGUUUCUGUCCCAGGAGCAUGAUAGAGGUGAUUAUGUGGUAUUUGUGUUGUUCUUUACACUAACUAGAUGCAAGUGAUGUGUGCUAGUCUGCUUUUCAGUUUCUUCCCCACCUUUAUGUUGAAGGUAUUGUUGAUUAGUUGGCGAGGUUCGUGGAUAAGCUGUACUUCUGUCACAUUUGCGGUCUAUCACACCGCAAAGCUCAUGCAAAGACCAUGAGGAGUAGCACAGAUGAACGGAACAGAAACAACAAUGGUCAUGCAGCUUCUUGUUCCCCAUGAUCGUAACACGGUAGAGGCGACAAACAGUGUAACUAAUGGUGGCAGUGGUGGUGCAGGGGAGGAUAGCAACCAUACAAUCCAGGAGCCCUGAUCGCAAGCUGUGCUUCUGCCAUGUUAUCGGUGCUGGAGCGCCGUAUGAGGCGUUAUCUUGAUCAGUGUGUCUUGCAUGCCACCCAUUGCCUUGAGUCCACUGUAUAUUAAGGCUAUAAUGUUUUGUUUAUUCAAUGGAUUCUUGACCGUCCUGUAGCUAAUUCCAUCCAGUAAGUAAUACAGUUCGUCUAGGAA